UAUCUUAAUUAGGCUACUGUCUGUCGCAAUAUCUCAUUUUGUUCUACAGUUUGAUGUCUUUGAAGUAAACAUGCAAUGGGAACCAUAAGGAAAAAGACACAUAACAGUUAUAAUAUAAAUAUACGUCCUGUACCUGUGUGGUGGCCCUCAGUUCACUGACCAGUGGAUCAGCCAGUGGAGUACUAGAGUCUCUGUAACUGAAGAAACGCUGUGUCAUUGUCUUGCAGUGUCAGUGCACACACAUCAUUACACCGACCACAUGGGAACAGAUGACAUCAAGACUAACUUGUAAAGAAGAAAUUAAAGUGGAACUAUGUUGUGACUGCUAUUCUCUGUUCUGUGCAAUGCCGCUGAGUGGAUAGCUUCUUGCUGUGGCUCCUCAAAGAAGGACAGGGUAGCAGCAGGAUGACAAAACCAGCGUAAAGGGCAGAAAGUGUGGACAGUCUCUAGGGAUGAAACAACAUUCAGUCAAAAUCCUCCCUAAUUCCUCUGGACAGAAGAGAUGCCCACAUUUCUCCUCCACCUUAUUUAUCUCUGAAGUGUAUUCACUUGCAGCACAUUGAUCUGUGUUGCUCUGUACUUGUUAUAAUGAUGACUUGUCCGAAAACUCCUUGUUGGGAAGUUGGAUGAUGUUUGACAGCAGACAAGUGCUGCAGUAGCUCAGAAGUGGCUUACAUCUACUGUAUGUACAAAUCAUUUAUAUGGUAGAAAUACAGUGUGGUACAGCAAAUUAAUCAAAUUAAAUACAUUGUUGUUAAGAUCAAGUAACUAUCUGUCAUUAAAGUGUCCUUACCCUGUUUCUCCAGGAGAGGCCCACUUUUCUCUAAUGAGACUCACUUUUUUGUGAUUAUCUGGCGCCAUCAUGUGGAAGACAAAAUAACUGAAAUUACCUGUUGACUGAAGAAAGACAGAACACUGGUUUAGUUGUCAUUAAGAUGAAACAAUGUUAAAUAAUUAAGAUAUGAAAUGAGAAUAUUUCAAAGUUUUUAAUGACUAUCUUAACAUUAAGGAACUUUUCAUUACUAAAGAUGGUCAGCAUUCACAACUUAGUGCACAUAAAGUAUAAAAUAAAAAAACAUUUUCAAUAAUACCACCUCUUUGACAUACAUAAAAUACUAUCAGUUUUGUUAUCUACCAACUAUUUAUAGCUACUUGUAUGUGCAUUAAAGUGUUUUAAUAAACAUAGAAUAGAAUACAAUAGAACUUUAAUGUCCACAAAGG